UGACCCUCGGCAUUGUGGCUCCUGGAGCUUCCAAAGUUGAAUAGCCCUGCUGUAAACCCCUUUCCGAUCUAUAUGUUUAUUUAUUUGGAAUUUGGACUGCAUAUAGGUGAGUCUCUGAGAUGACUCCCUUUUUUAUUCUCUAUUAGUUGCAUGAUUGUGAUGAGCAAGUCCUGUGUAAGAUUUGACUCCUUUGAUCAACUUAAUGAAAUCUUAGAGCUACCGGUUCUCUUUGGGUGCAUCUAUACUGCACCCAUAGCUCAAAAUAGCGUAUUUCAAAAUUCGGCGCUGUCUACACAGCACUUAUUUCAAAAUAAAUCACUAUUACAAAAUGUUCCUCCAGUGAGUCAGCGUGGCCUCCCAGUGACCCAGAUGAGGAAACUCUUCCAAAGACUCCUAGGUUGGCAGUACCAGAACAACCCAGCCCCGUCCACAGGAAACAGAAAGGCAGGGCCGGAGGUCUAAAAAGAGGAGCUCCAAGCUCAGUUGGAGCUCAGCUGCAGAGCAGGCCAAAGGCCCCAGCCCUGAAGAGAAAGGUCCUGCCACCCUGCCCUCAGAGGGAAGACUUGGUUAGGCCGCUAGGGCCACUGCCGGGUCCUGAGAACUGGCCCGGGCUGCCAUGGCCACUGGUGGACCCUAAUAACUGGACAAGGCCAUGGAGGCCGCUGCCUGGGCCCACAGAUUUACCCAGACCCCCAGGACUCUUGCCAGGCCCAGACAACUGGGCUGGACCACCUGGACCUUUACCCGAACAGGACCCAGAGCCUAUGGACACACUGCCAGCACCUCCGUCCCCAGCUGAUCCCGAGGAAGAGCACCCGAAUCAGGUAGAAUGACUCUACUGCAGUUCCUAGUCAAGGUUCUGAUUGGUGCUGAAGAUCUAAAACACCUUUUGAAAUACAAUGAUGGAUAUUAACAGGCCAGACCUUGAGAAGUCAGACAUGCUCCUCCACUGACAGACUCCAUCAACUUAGGAAAAAAACUUCAGAGGACUCUCCAAACCAAAAAAAAGGGAGGAAAGUUGGGCCAGGGAGAUGAAAUCUAGAAAAAAAAUCCACUGAGCACACGCUAAAGCUCAUGGAAGACCAAACUGAGAUGCUGACGGGCCAAAUCAAGAUGCAGAGCAAACAGAACCAAAGGCCUCCCUGUCAACACAUGCAGAAUUCUUUACACAGUAACCAUCCCUCUACGCUCACACAGAAACCUCCAUGGCCACACAUGUAAAAUUCUGUAUCUGGCAAACACCUCCCACCCCCACCCUGCACACACACACUCAUUUUCACAGUGGUAAUGCUUUUUUUUCCAGCAUACUCCAUUCCCUGUCAGAGCAGCUGUGACUCUGACAGCUGGAUGUUAACACAAUUGUGAGGUUUUUUCCAACAACCCUUACCCUCCCUUACCAUG